rnacentral:other from 1 species
GCGUCCCUACUGUGUACGUGAUAGCCGUUAUGUUUUGACCCAACAGCAACAACAAAGGGAGCCUGGACUCUGCAUGUGGCGCAUAGGCCCUGAUAGGGACAUGUUAAGCAUGCAGGAGGGCACCCACCUGAGGUAAUCAGGUUCAAAACAUGCGUGUAGUGCACGGCACAGCGGGGGCGCU